CGAGCUUGUGGCAUAGGAUCCUGGGAAAGCGAAGGAUGUGAUCAAGUCUGUAAAGAAGUGUAUAGGGAGCAGGAGCAAGACCACUCAACUCUUUGCUGUUAUGCUAUUGGAGAUGCUUCUGAAUAAUUGCGGAGAGCCUGUCCAUAGGCAUGUCAUUGAUAAUGGCCUUCUUCCAAUACUUGUCAAGAUAGUGAAGAAAAAGACAGAUUUACCAGUU